rnacentral:tRNA from 1 species
AAGGACUUAGCUUAAUAAAAGUGUCUGAUUUGCAUUCAGUCGAUGUAGGAGAAGUCUUGCAGUCCUUA